GCCGGUGUAGCUCAGUUGGUAGAGCGGCUGACUUGUAAUCAGCAGGUCGUGGGUUCGAAUCCCGCCACCGGCU
rnacentral:tRNA from 1 species